rnacentral:rRNA from 1 species
CCUUACCAGGUCUUGACAUCCUCGGAAUUUGGCAGAGAUGCCUUAGUGCCUUCGGGAGCCGAGUGACAGGUGCUGCAUGGCCGUCGUCAGCUCGUGUCGUGAGAUGUUGGGUUAAGUCCCGUAACGAGCGCAACCCUUGUCCUUAGUUGCCAGCACUUCGGGUGGGAACUCUAGGGAGACUGCCGGUGACAAACCGGAGGAAGGUGGGGACGACGUCAGGUCAUCAUGGCCCUUACGACCUGGGCUACACACGUGCUACAAUGGCUGGUACAGAGGGUUGCUAAGUCGCGAGGCGGAGCCAAUCCCUUAAAGCCAGUCGUAGUCCGGAUCGGAGUCUGCAACUCGACUCCGUGAAGUCGGAAUCGCUAGUAAUCGCGGAUCAGAAUGCCGCGGUGAAUACGUUCCC